rnacentral:rRNA from 1 species
UGACGGGGGCCCGCACAAGCGGUGGAGCAUGUGGUUUAAUUCGAAGCAACGCGCAGAACCUUACCAGGUCUUGACAUCCACGGAACCCUGGUGAAAGCCGGGGGUGCCCGCAAGGGAGCCGUGAGACAGGUGCUGCAUGGUCGUCGUCAGCUCGUGUCGUGAGAUGUUGGGUUAAGUCCCGCAACGAGCGCAACCCUUGUUGCUAGUUGCCAUCAGUUCGGCUGGGCACUCUAGCGAGACUGCCUACGAAAGUAGGAGGAAGGCGGGGAUGACGUCUGAUCCGCAUGGCCCUUACGACCUGGGCGACACACGUGCUACAAUGCCUGCCACAAAGCGCUGCGACCCGGCAACGGGAAGCCAAUCGCAUAAAAGCAGGCUCAGUUCGGAUUGGGGUCUGCGACUCGACCCCAUGAAGCUGGAAUCGCUAGUAAUCGCGGAUCAGCCAUGCCGCGGUGAAUACGUUCCCGGGCCUUGUACACACCGCCCGUCAAGCCAUGGGAGUGGGUUUUGCCUGAAGUCGCCGGGAGCCACAGGCAGGCGCCUAGGGUAAGGCUCAUGA